rnacentral:rRNA from 1 species
UACGUAGGGUGCAAGCGUUAUCCGGAAUUAUUGGGCGUAAAGAGCUCGUAGGCGGUUUGUCGCGUCUGCUGUGAAAACUGGAGGCUCAACCUCCAGCCUGCAGUGGGUACGGGCAAACUAGAGUGCGGUAGGGGAGAUUGGAAUUCCUGGUGUAGCGGUGGAAUGCGCAGAUAUCAGGAGGAACACCUGCGGCGAAGGCGGGUAGCUGGGCCGACACUGACGCUGAGGCGCGAAAGCCAGGGGAGCGAACGGG